rnacentral:rRNA from 1 species
GACGAACGCUGGCGGCGUGCUUAACACAUGCAAGUCGAACGGAAAGGCCCUGCUUUUGUGGGGUGCUCGAGUGGCGAACGGGUGAGUAACACGUGAGUAACCUGCCCUUGACUUUGGGAUAACUUCAGGAAACUGGGGCUAAUACCGGAUAGGAGCUCCUGCUGCAUGGUGGGGGUUGGAAAGUUUCGGCGGUUGGGGAUGGACUCGCGGCUUAUCAGCUUGUUGGUGGGGUAGUGGCUUACCAAGGCUUUGACGGGUAGCCGGCCUGAGAGGGUGACCGGCCACAUUGGGACUGAGAUACGGCCCAGACUCCUACGGGAGGCAGCAGUGGGGAAUAUUGCACAAUGGGCGGAAGCCUGAUGCAGCAACGCCGCAUGCGGGAUGACGGCCCUCGGGUUGUAAACCGCUUUCGCCUGUGACGAAGCGUGAGUGACGGUAAUGGGUAAAGAAGCACCGGCUAACUACGUG